GACGAACGCUGGCGGCGUGCUUAACACAUGCAAGUCGAGCGAUGAAGCUUCUUCGGAAGUGGAUUAGCGGCGGACGGGUGAGUAACACGUGGGUAACCUGCCUCAUAGAGGGGAAUAGCCUUUCGAAAGGAAGAUUAAUACCGCAUAAGAUUGUAGUACCGCAUGGUGCAGCAAUUAAAGGAGUAAUCCGCUAUGAGAUGGACCCGCGUCGCAUUAGCUAGUUGGUGAGGUAACGGCUCACCAAGGCGACGAUGCGUAGCCGACCUGAGAGGGUGGUCGGCCACAUUGGGACUGAGCCACGGCCCAGACUCCUACGGGAGGCAGCAGUGGGGAAUAUUGCACAAUGGGGGAAACCCUGAUGCAGCAACGCCGCGUGAGUGAUGACGGUCUUCGGAUUGUAAAGCUCUGUCUUCAGGGACGAUAAUGACGGUACCUGAGGAGGAAGCCACGGCUAACUACGUGCCAGCCGCCGCCGUAA
rnacentral:rRNA from 1 species